GAGUAUAAGUUUUGGUCUAUUAAAUUUUAUUUUUUCUUGUUAGUGCUUUAAAAGCAGUUGAAAUUCUGGAAGCAUAUGAAGGGACACUAGAAGAUUAUUUUCCUCCUGAUAAUGAACGUUGUGAACAUGGGGAAAUGCUUUUGUAUAAGAUUUCUUUGCUAGAAGAAUCGGGUUCUAUUGAGAGAGCUCUUGAUGAGUUGCACAAGAAAGAGCCAAAAAUAGUUGAUAAAUUGGCUUUUAAAGAAUAAGAGGUUUCUAUUUUAGUAAAGCUUGGUCGCUUUGAAGAAGGUGCCACUUUGUUCAAGGCUCUACUUUCUAUGAAUCCUAACAAUUACGGGUA